UUGCGGCUGGAUCACCUCCUUUCUCGGAAUCAGGGAUCCGAGGUCAGAGGUCAGGUAUCAGCGAUGAGACCGGACCGCGACCCGACCCUCGCCCCGAUUCCAGUGCCCACAACCUAUCGGGCGUCAUUACAGAUGCGCGGGGAGACCUCGCGAGCAAACAAUGCCGCGGUUGCCGUUGCGGGCGACUGCCACGGGCCUGUAGCUCAGUUGGUUAGAGCACCGUCUUGAUAAGGCGGGGGUCGAUGGUUCGAAUCCAUCCAGACCCACCAACAAGCUUGGGCGCAGCGCACAACGGGGCUGUA
rnacentral:misc_RNA from 1 species